rnacentral:lncRNA from 1 species
AUAAGUACUAGGGAUGUGAUCCACAGCUAUCACCUCGGGGUGGAGAAGUGAAAAACUUACUAGCUUUGCCAGUUUGACUGUCAGAGAGAGCUGCAUUCAAAUUCUGACCCCAAUCCUUGCUAUCUACGUAACAGACAAAUGGGGUAACACAUAGAAAAGGCACGGAGAAGUUAAGUGAUUUGCCUGUGGUCACAAAGCCUGUUAGCAGCAAACCCAGAACAAGAACCUAAGAUUUAUGACCGCCAGUUCCAGCUGUUUUUCUUCGUCAUGUAUCCUCAGCAAUCAACAUAAUCAAAAUCUGUUUGGAGACUACUGAUUUGUAUAAAGGAAGAUAACACCGAACAACCAAACAGGAAGUAAUCCAGCGAAUCUGGAACAGCGGUGGAAUUUAGAAGCAAGGCCAGAUGAGGACCCUAAGACCUAGAGAAACUAAGUCAUUUGCUCAAGAAGACAAAGGCAUCGUCUGGUCCAGUUCAGCACAGAGCUAGCUGCAAGUGACAACCUAAGAGAAAAGUCAGCGAGAACAAAGAUCCAUCUCUUCGUUGACUGCCUUAAUCCCUAGAGCUGUGUUCUUCAAUUUGUUACUAUUUGCUACAAUUUUUCUGCCUAACAAGCAAGUUCUAUCCUGCCUAGGAGAGAAACUUUUAGUAAAUUCAUCUUCAUUCACUACUAUUCAGCUCAUGCUGUAAAAACUUAGAUAAUGCUGUCUGAAAUACUUAACUCCUGGUCAAAUGCAG